rnacentral:rRNA from 1 species
GAGCGGUAACAUUUCUAGCUUGCUAGAAGAUGACGAGCGNCNNNNNGGUGAGUAAUACUUAGGAAUCUACCUAGUAGUGGGGGAUAGCUCGGGGAAACUCGAAUUAAUACCGCAUACGACCUACGGGAGAAAGGGGGCAACUUGUUGCUCUCGCUAUUAGAUGAGCCUAAGUCGGAUUAGCUAGAUGGUGGGGUAAAGGCCUACCAUGGCGACGAUCUGUAGCUGGUCUGAGAGGAUGAUCAGCCACACCGGAACUGAGACACGGUCCGGACUCCUACGGGAGGCAGCAGUGGGGAAUAUUGGACAAUGGGGGCAACCCUGAUCCAGCCAUGCCGCGUGUGUGAAGAAGGCCUUUUGGUUGUAAAGCACUUUAAGCAGUGAAGAAGACUCCGUGGUUAAUACCCACGGACGAUGACAUUAGCUGCAGAAUAAGCACCGGCUAACUCUGUGCCAGCAGCCGCGGUAAUACAGAGGGUGCAAGCGUUAAUCGGAAUUACUGGGCGUAAAGCGAGCGUAGGUGGCUUGAUAAGUCAGAUGUGAAAUCCCCGGGCUUAACCUGGGAACUGCAUCUGAUACUGUUAGGCUAGAGUAGGUGAGAGGAAGGUAGAAUUCCAGGUGUAGCGGUGAAAUGCGUAGAGAUCUGGAGGAAUACCGAUGGCGAAGGCAGCCUUCUGGCAUCAUACUGACACUGAGGCUCGAAAGCGUGGGUAGCAAACAGGAUUAGAUACCCUGGUAGUCCACGCCGUAAACGAUGUCUACUAGUCGUUGGGUCCCUUGAGGACUUAGUGACGCAGCUAACGCAAUAAGUAGACCGCCUGGGGAGUACGGCCGCAAGGUUAAAACUCAAAUGAAUUGACGGGGGCCCGCACAAGCGGUGGAGCAUGUGGUUUAAUUCGAUGCAACGCGAAGAACCUUACCUGGUCUUGACAUAUCUAGAAUCCUGCAGANAUGCGGGAGUGCCUUCGGGAAUUAGAAUACAG